CGCUCCUUGAUUUUAAUUGAUAAGGAGUCGGACCUGCCCAGUGAUAAGUAUUUAACGGCCGCGGUACUCUGACCGUGCAAAGGUAGCAUAAUCAUUUGCCCUAUAAUUGAGGGCUAGUAUGAAUGGUUUGACAAGAACAAUACUGUCUCUUUCAAAAUUUCUAGAAUUUAUUCUUUAGGUGAAGAAACCUAAAUAAAAUUAAAAGACAAGAAGACCCUAUCGAGCUUAAACUCUUUUUAUAAAAUAAAAAAAAUUAAUAAUAUUUUUUGUUAUAAAAAAUUUUGGUUGGGGCGACUAAGGAACAAAAAAAGCUUCUUUAUUUAAUAAAGACAAAUAUGUAUUGAUCCAUAAAAUCUUGAUUAAAAGAAUUAGUUACCGUAGGGAUAACAGCAUAAUCUUUUUUAAGAGUUCUUAUCGAAAAAAAGGUUUGUGACCUCGAUGUUGGACUAAAAUUUCCUAAUAGAUGCAGACGUCUUUAAGGG
rnacentral:rRNA from 1 species